GAAAAUGGUUUACAGACUAACUUCGCCACAUCGUGUGGCAACGUCUGCAUGACCUUCAUCAUGAAGG
rnacentral:sRNA from 1 species